rnacentral:lncRNA from 1 species
UUGGUGGUAGGUUUAAUGGUGGUAUAGUGGAUGUGACAAUGAUAGUAACGAUGGUAUGGUAAAAGCGAUGGUGAUGAUAUUAGUAAUAAUAAUAGCGAGGGCAUCAAUGAUGUAAAGAGGCGGCAAUAGUAUGAUGGAGGUGGCGACAAUAAUGAAAUAAUGACAAUGAUGGUGGUGGUUAAGAUGUUGGUAAUGUGAUGG